CACACACACACACGCGCGCACAGAGGAAAAGAAGAAAAAAUCGGCAGGAAAAUUGUGAGAAGUUGGUCACCAUUUUGGACCUGUUCAGUGCAGUCAGACCUUGGCAGCCAUCUUACAGCUUGGCAACCAUUUUGAGAAUGUGCCUGGCAAGCUCUCAGAGCUCGCCGACACUGUUUCAACACAGCGCUGGUUAAAUAUAGUCCAAAUUAAACAAUACCGUGGAAUAUCAGAGACAAAAGGAAAAGUUUGAGGAGAAAAAAAGCCAUCCCAGCAGCCAGACAUCUUAGGGAAGGCUGGUUUAUUGAGAGAGCCCGAUGGCGGGGCGAGCUGUAAACAAACACUUCCCUUCUUCUCCCCACCCUGCGAGAUCGGCGUGUUUUUGGACCGAACGCCCUUCACUCUCACAGUGCCAAAAUCCCGAGGAAGACUUUGUGCCAGAUGAAGAAAGGCACGGUUGUCAGAAACAGCUCUGGCCCAGGAGUAGGAAAAGUGCCGUGAGGAGCUGAGAGAAGUGCCUCGGUACUGUUCCUCGAGGCCAGGGGGUACAGCAAGAGGAAGUGCUACGUGGUGAACAUCCAUCUACCUCUUCUCCAAAUCUGCAGCAGAAGAAUGACAGCAGCAGCCUUCUCCACCACUGACAUGUUCUUCAGGAAUAAAGAACUCAGUCACUCAAGAAGCAAGGGGCUAAAUGGGUUCUUGCAGAAGAGAUUUGACAAAAGAUGAGGGGCAGAAAGACACCAAACCACUGUCACAAAAAACAAAUCCGUAUUACAGAGAUGCACAAGAGAUUACUCUUGUACUAAUGCUUGUAAGACUCAAUAAAUGCAGAAAAGACCUGCACAUUGCUCACAACUCAAGCUUCUCUCAUGGAUUCAGGUCCUUCACAUCACCAGAGAAAACAUAUGUUGUAAAAUACCAUUUAUGCAAUAUUCUUCUUGUCUUAGCUGUCCUGGUUAUGGAGGUGCUAAGAAAAGAACCCUGAAUGGGAGCUUUUUAAUCAAUAAAAACUUU